UACGUAGGGACCAAGCGUUGUCCGGAAUCAUUGGGCGUAAAGAGCGUGUAGGCGGCUUGUUAAGUCUUGCGUGAAAUCUCGGGGCUCAACCCCGAGCGGUCGUGAGAAACUGGCAGGCUAGAGUGCGGGAGAGGAGAGUGGAAUUCCUGGUGUAGCGGUGAAAUGCGUAGAUAUCUGGAGGAACACCGGUGGCGAAGGCGGCAUCCUGGACCGGCAUUGACGCUGAGGCGCGAAAGCCAGGGAGCAAAGCGGG
rnacentral:rRNA from 1 species